UAAGAAUGGGUACUGAGAAAACUGCACUGUGGAGAUGAACUCCAGGCCUGCUUCUGUUUCUGUACUGGUUUCCAGGCCAGCUUUCACAAAAGAGGAGUCCACUGUGAUGUCAGUGGUUAUUACCACAGUCACCCUAAAUAUUUGAGAAAAAAAGAAAAAACCUGUUCAUAUUAUAUUUAAUGGAAUUGGACUAACAGCUAUAAUUUUACAGGAUCUGAACUUAUGAUGCCAGUGACUGGAAGAAGACACUUAAGGGAUUCAGAAGUGACCUGGAUGUGCUCAGAGUUCUGCUAGUAACCAGGGCCUGCUAUCCUGAGCUGAUACGAGGAACAAGAAAGAUAGAAAAUUAACACUGUUUAAUCCCAAGUAAUGAGGUUUUGGAGGAGUUUUAAUACAAUCUAAUAUCUAAGAUGUCUCCCAGCCCUUAAAAUCUAUGAUUUCUCAACCAGAAUAUAACAAAUCAGAAUCCUCAAAUUAUCUGGCAAACAACAAAGCUGAUGAAAUCUUCAGACCACCUGCUCCAGGUGCCUCACUUUACUAGUAUGAAACUGUGUCUUAAGGCUAUUAAGUAACUGCCCAAGAGCACAUAGCAAGAAGGUAAUGGAGGCAAAAUUCAAAUGUAGGCUAUUAUCCAUUAAUGUAUUAAAACAAUAAAGCAAACUUUACAAGUCAA